rnacentral:lncRNA from 1 species
GAGCAUAUAGUUUCAAGUCGAGUAAAGAGUAUCGAGUUUCGAGUUAAGUCAAGAGUCAAGAGUUGAGUUCAUUUCUCAAAAGUAAUUAGGGAACUAAGUAUUUCCCAAGGAAAUUUAUAAGUGUUUUCACAUCUAAGUUGAGAGGAAACUGAGAUUUCCAAAAGAGUUUUGAGCAGUUUGAGCACUAUCUCUUUUAAAAAGAAAAGAUGAGUUUUUCAAAAGAGUUUCUAAAAUAUGAUUAGAUAUGACAAAUCGAGUAUGUCAUCAAUGUUUAAACAGUAUGGUCUCUAGAUAUACCAUCAAUGUUUAAGCAGUAUGAAUAUCCCGAGUCAUCAAUGAUCAUAUUAAAAAUAUGGUUUUGAUUUGUUCUUUUUAAACAAGAGUUUUCAAGUGCCUUCGGGCUAUGUUUUGAGUAAUUAUCUCAACUAAAGAAAGAUGUGUUUAAAACACUUAUGAGCUAAAGUAUUUUUGGGAGUAGUCUUGAGCACCGAAUUGGGGACACGAGUUCAUAUUAACUCAACUCUCCAUAAGAACCAUGUAGCCAAACAUGAGAUUUCUCGUAUCAUACAUUUUAGAUGAUCACGAAAGUUAAGCUAGUGGAUCCAUUAAGCAAAAGUUAAAGUAAGGUCCUAUAUCGAUGGCAAGGUAUAGGAUGGUCCUUGGGCAACGUGAGGUAAAACGUUGUAUCACCACUUAGUUUCAUAGUAGUGGUUAUCGGUUUAGAGAAACUCCCACAGCAGUAAAAAGAGCUUGGUUCCUCGAUAAGUUCUGCUUAGUAUGGAUGGGGGUAUGGGACUUCAUUCAUGCAUUGCACAAGUAGACUUUGAGAGGAAGCAUGGUAUUUUCAUGAUAUUAUAAAUAUGAUUUUUACGUCAUGUUUUAAUAGUUUCAAAAGCUUUAUAUAUAUUGCAUGUGUCUCAUUGCUUUAUAUUAAGUUCAGUUAUUCUUGAGUUGUACAGAGCCAAGGUAAGUUCUCGUUUGCAUCCCUUUUUAAGCUUAAGUUGUUUUUAGCGGUCCAGCUCGCAUACUCGUACAUUCCAUGUACUGAUGCCAGUUGGCCUGCAUCGUUUUAUGAUGCAGACGCAGGUACCCAGGAUCAGCAUUCUGCACGCCGUUGAUCCAGUUGAGCACUCUAGAGUCAGUGGUGAGCCUCCUUGCUUCCAGAGGGCUCAGUUAUUUUGUUCUCUUAGUUUUGUUUAUUAGGGUGUUGCGGGGUCUGUCCCAACAUCCAUCUAAGUAUUUUAGAGGCUUCAUAGACAGUCAGUCAGUUAGUUUUGAGUCUCUUAUCUAUGUAUAUAUGUAAGUAUUCUAUUUUGAGACUCAAGUUGCCUUUUUGGCCAGAUAUGUAUCAUUUAAGUUGUUUAUGUCU